GACUUCAAAUACUCUUUGUCCUGCCCCUGCUUGGCGAAAUUUACCGAAAUUAUCUACCUAUCCCGCUGGAGUGGGAGCCGGGGGAGAGCUGGAACCGCGUCUCUGCUGCUCACCUUUGUGUCCUUAGCUCCUUCGCAUGGGGUCCGACCGCAACACGUGCGCUGGAUAAACGCUUGUUAACUGGGUGAGAGCCAAGGCCUGUUCUUUCCACUUCUGGGGCUGUGACUUGAGUUUCUCCGCAGGAGCAGAUAGUGUUUGUGUAGGGACUGCGGACUUUUGCAUUACAGCCUCCCUGCUUUGCCCGCCUGCUGCUGGAAGCUUAGCAGGUAAAAGUCUUGCAGUGAAAAACCCGAGGACCCUUACCGCAAGUGUCUUUUGCUCCCAGCUACUGAUACUGGAUUCCACUCGUGAUUCUCCCUUUCUUAGCGCAUUCAUGAUAUAGACAUCAGUCUCUGAGCUGGAGGAGGACAAAGGCAGCGGUCCUGUGAAUUCUAUGCUCUAGCUUGGGUUAAGGGAUUUGGAAUUGCACUUGUUUCAGAGAGCUCCCUCUUUGCCCACUAGCAGGGCAUUAGCUGGUGCUGAAGACAGUGGCUGCUUGGCGAGCCUGGAUCUCCAAGUGACCCCCUCAGCAACUCCUGAUGAACAGGACUGAAGCCAAUAUUAAAGCAAGUCAACCAAAGGUUCUCUGGUGUAGACAAGACAGCAAAAGGACAGACUACCUUGUGGAACCUAGCAUUGUUCUCCUUCUGCAGCACUAAGUAACAUUUGUUCUCCGUUAAGAUCUUUGCAAACCACACACAAGAAUUGCUGGUCAUCCUGCCAAUAGAUGCUGCUCACAGAACCAAAUUUCCUGUGCUGAAUUGUCACUCAUGGGCUUGAGAGUAGGAGACUGGAGACCAAGGUGGCUAGAAUCCAGUUGGGCCUGAUGUCUCCCUGUUGAAAGGGCUCCUUGUGGAAUGAAUAGCACAUGGCUCCUGUGGUGGAUCUGAUAGUGGCAUAGCACCAAGUGAUGCAGGCCUGCCAGGGGCCACAGACACAGAAGAUGCUCCCGGGGUCCCCCAUGUACUCCAGACACACUGCAGGCCACCUCUCCCAGCAGGUUGCCAGUCAUGGGCCCCAUCAUCAUGACUUCUGUCCAAGGUGUGCUCGGAAAUCUCUUCCUUAACUGUGACUUUCUGACAGGUGGAGGAUGUGGUCAGGAGUGGGAAAAGGAUUCGAGACGGGAAGAGGGAGGGGUUCAGGAUGAAGAGAGAUAAUCUGUGCCACAGAUGCUGGCCCUGCAGUUAGCUCCCACCUAGUCCGUGCACACACAUUCUAAUCCCCUCCCAUUCCUUUACAUGCUGCGGCCAGAGAGGCCUUUCUCAAAGUGGAAGUCUCAUCCUCACUUCUCUGGUUACAGUGCUGGGCCAUGGUAACUUACAAGGCUUAGCAGGAACUGUCUGCGCACUCCCCCUUCCUGCCCACUACCUUGUUUCCCUCCAGUUGCGAGAGAAAACAUUGAUUGAGCAUUAACUAUGUGCCAGGCUUGUCCUAAGUCCUUUGCAUGUAUUCACUCAAACAAUCCUCACAACAUUCCUAUCACAUCUCCCAUUUCACAGUGAGGGUUCUAAAGCACGUAGUGGGUGAGGAACUUGUCCAGGGUCACACAACUAAGUGGGGGUGGAGAAACAUCAAAUCUAGGUGGUCCAGGUGGUGGCCAGAACCCAUCAGCACCUCACUACAGCUGCCUCCAGUUUCUCGCUCUAGGAAAUACUCUUCCCUGUCAACUCCUGUUGUCCUCUGGGCUCAGUUGACAUGUCAUCUCCUUGAGGAGGACAUCCUGAGAUGCUCCCCGACUAGGGUGGGCACCCACUUCCACACUCCAAAUGCCUAUUUGACCUGUGUAUCGCUGCAUCCCCACUGCCUGGCAGAUAGCAGGCCCCUAAUAAAUAUGAUUUGAGCAAAUAAAUAUAGUUCUUCAAAAAAUAGGGAGGACUUCUUGCUUCAGGUAAUGGUAGGCUAGGACAUUUGGACCAACCCUCCUGCAGAAAAUAGCCAUUUAUUUUGAUGCAAUAUAUCUGGCUAUGACUAGAGAUUUCAAAUAUUUGGAGGGCUAUUAUGUGAAGAACUAAACUUACUCUUUGUGACAUAGAGGUCAGAAAUUGGUCGUUUCCAUAGAGUAUGAGAGAGACAGAAUUGUGCUCAUCAUAAGUAUCUUUUUUAAAAGUUAGACUUAAUAAAAUGGGCUGCCUUGGUAGGUGGUGAGUUCUCUGUCACGAAAGAGAUUCAGCCACUUGCUCUGAGAAAGCAUGGAGAAUAUCAACAUUGUAAGGGUCGACCACCUCAUCUCUGAGGCCCCCUCCUCACUUAGGUUGCCAUUGCAGGUGGAACACUGGGCUGAGUGUCAAAGAACCUGGGUUCCACAAGCUGUGCGACCAUGGCUGGUUGUUUUGGAUCUCAUUCCUAAUAUCUGUUAGUUAAGCUGACCCGUCAAUACUGACCCACUUCACAGAGUUAUGAAGGGAUUAAAUUAGGUAUUACAUGUAAAUCUGUUUUGUUUGCUUUUUGUUGUUCUUUUUUGUUUUGCUUUUUUCUUUGCAUUAUGAAAUCCCAAGUCAACUUUUUCCAUUCUUUUAUUUUUUUAAAAAUUGACAUCAUCAUUAUAACCACAAAAUAAUUUUUAAAAUGGAAAAAAAAAACUCACCUGCAACCCCACAAUCUAAUACAAUAAUCAUACUUUUUUCCCUUUAUUCUCCUUUAUUGUGACCAAGGAUGACUUUGGGCAUUGCUGUGAGGAACUAUUUCGUUUAACACCCUACUACCUGAACAUGAUGCGUACUCAGCCUUUCACCACCCCCCAAGUAGCUACACAUGAUGUGAUAAUAGUAUUGGUGGUGGUUUUAGAGAGUUGGAGAGAAAACUGAAGUUGGAUUUGGGUAAAAGAAAAAAGAGUGGGAAUUAUUUUUUCUCCAUUCUAAAGCCCAUAAAGCAAUGUUAAUUGUUCCCACCCCUCUGCUAUUCUGUCUCCUCAGGUACUGUGUGCAGAAAUGUGAUUGAGAUUCAAGUCAGGGCCUCUCUGCCCUUUUCCCUCCAGAAACAAAACCAAGAUAAUUUAUCCUGAACACGGUGAAAAAAGGAAGGGAGGGAGGAGAAAAAGUCCGGGUCUCACCUGGGAUUCUCUGUCUCCUGCAACAUGAAGGAUUUAGCCUGGGAGGAGGUGGUGAGAACUCUGGGAGAGAAAAAAGAAGGAAAGAAUAGUUUUACCCAUGCUGAAGUUAAUUUAAACCUUCACCUAGAGAAGCAAAAAAAAAAAACCCACACUUUCCCAUUUUGUGCCUCCCUUCCUAGAGUUUUAGCCAAAGGUUUAGCUAAGUAAUUGGUUUUACCAGCGCACUCACUCCUCCUAUCCCAAGUCUGUUUGACUCCCUCCCCAUCAUCCUCCUCACCUCUUUUCAGGCAGGGUGGGGAUAGCAGCAGGAGGAGAUUUUGGGAGCCUGGCAACUCCUGCAAGGACCGCAGGACAGCCCCUCUGUGGGGAUGCGUGGUGCCCCAUCUGCCGCCCUUCUGAAGAAUGCACUGCCUUCACUUUUUACUGUGUUAGAGUCCAUCCAGACUGUUCUAUCCAAAAAAGUUUCUUUUUCCCCCACAGGCAAUCAGGAAAUGAUUCCUUUCCCGACUGCUUCUGUCUAGUGCCUGGGAAUCUUGAGUCAAUCCCUCAGUAAGUCAGUGACUAGGGAAAUCCCUCUCUGAGCCUCCCAGUUCAUGUUGCUUAGGGAACCUGAUAUUUUCGUGAAACCUGCCUACACAUGGGCAGCCCAACAGCAGAACAAAUGGUGGUGACCAAAGUGAACAAAGAAGUAUAGUUGUGCCAGCUUCGUAGUUGCCCAUGUGGACAAGUCAGCAGGAUCAGGACACGAGGAAGAGUAAAUGUGAGACAGUCAAUGUGACUUCUGCGAUAAACAGAUUUUUAAACCCCGAAAUUUUGCAAAAUUUUGGUGAAACCUGAACUUUCUUCGUUGCAUAUACUGGCACUAUCUGUACCAUCAUACAACUGUCUCACAUUAAAGCUAUUUUUCUUGGGCACUGAUGAGUAAGGUUGGUAUAAGUUCCUCAGAUCAACAAAAACCCAUUUUCCUGUAAGUCUUACAUUUAGUAUUUAAGGAACUAAAACUUAAAUACAUUUUGUGAAAUGGUUGACACUUCACUGAUAAUGAUUUAUUGCUUGGAUUAAUAAAUUUUCCAAAAGUUGUCUUAUGUAGAAUAUGGUUUGCAACCAGCAGAACCAUUAAUCUAUACUGCAAUGAUAUGCACUAUGUAUAAUUGUUUAAAAGCCUCUACUUAAUGAUGUAAAAUGCUCUAUUUAAUUACACAUUUGGGUAAACUGUAUACUAACAUCUGAUGGCAUUUUUCCACUGUUUGUUGCUUUUUUCAAAUACUUUAUUGUACAAAGCUGUUCUUAAUAUUUUUCAAGUUUUUUUCUUUGAAUUUUGCUAAUGUUUUCCUUGAAUUAUGAGCACUGACAGAAUGUGCUUAGCACUUUUGGCUAUUCACACAGCUUUUGAGCAUGAUUUGCAUCCAAUAUUUACAUUGCUAGCAAUAAUAAGCCAUCUGUGAGUUUUGUCAAAA
ensembl:lncRNA HCG18 HLA complex group 18